GGGGCUGUGGCUCAGCGGUAGAGCGCUCGCCUAGCAUGUGAGAGGCCCUGGGUUCUAGCCUCAGCACCACA
rnacentral:tRNA from 1 species